GUGCUCGAGUGGCGAACGGGUGAGUAACACGUGAGUAACCUGCCCUUGACUUUGGGAUAACUUCAGGAAACUGGGGCUAAUACCGGAUAGGAGCUCCUGCUGCAUGGUGGGGGUUGGAAAGUUUCGGCGGUUGGGGAUGGACUCGCGGCUUAUCAGCUUGUUGGUGGGGUAGUGGCUUACAAGGCUUUGACGGGUAGCCGGCCUGAGAGGGUGACCGGCCACAUUGGGACUGAGAUACGGCCCAG
rnacentral:rRNA from 1 species